GACGAACGCUGGCGGCGUGCCUAAUACAUGCAAGUUGAGCGCUGAAGGUUGGUACUUGUACCGACUGGAUGAGCAGCGAACGGGUGAGUAACGCGUGGGGAAUCUGCCUUUUAGCGGGGGACAACAUUUGGAAACGAAUGCUAAUACCGCAUAAAAACUUUAAACACAAGUUUUAAGGUUGAAAGAUGCAAUUGCAUCACUCAAAGAUGAUCCCGCGUUGUAUUAGCUAGUUGGUGAGGUAAAGGCCCAACCAGGCGAUGAUACAUAGCCGACCUGAGAGGGUUAUCGGCCCCCUUGGGACUGAGACCCGGCCCCACCUCCUACGGGAGGCAACCGUAGGGAAUCUUCGGCCAUGGACGAAAGUCUGACCGCGCCCCGCCGCGGGAGUGGAGAGGGUUCUCGGAUCGUAAAACUCUGUUGGUAGAGAAGAACGUUGGUGAGAGUGGAAAGCUCAUCAAGUGACGGUAACUACACAGAAAGGGACGGCUAACUACGUG
rnacentral:rRNA from 1 species